rnacentral:rRNA from 1 species
AGCGAACGCUGGCGGCAGGCCUAACACAUGCAAGUCGAACGAAGUCUUCGGACUUAGUGGCGGACGGGUGAGUAACACGUGGGAACGUACCUUUUGGUUCGGAACAACUCAGGGAAACUUGAGCUAAUACCGGAUGAGCCCUUAGGGGGAAAGAUUUAUCGCCGAAAGAGCGGCCCGCGUUAGAUUAGCUAGUUGGUGAGGUAAAGGCUCACCAAGGCUACGAUCUAUAGCUGGUCUGAGAGGAUGAUCAGCCACACUGGGACUGAGACGCGGCCCAAACUCCUACGGGAGGCAGCAGUGGGGAAUCUUGCGCAAUGGGCGAAAGCCUGACGCAGCCAUGCCGCGUGAAUGAUGAAGGUCUUAGGAUUGUAAAAUUCUUUCACCGGGGACGAUAAUGACGGUACCCGGAGAAGAAGCCCCGGCUAACUUCGUGCCAGCAGCCGCAGUAACAC